rnacentral:rRNA from 1 species
UACGAAGGGGGCUAGCGUUGCUCGGAAUCACUGGGCGUAAAGCGCACGUAGGCGGACUCUUAAGUCGGUGGUGAAAUCCUGGAGCUCAACUCCAGAACUGCCUUCGAUACUGAGAGUCUCGAGUCCGGGAGAGGUGAGUGGAACUGCGAGUGUAGAGGUGAAAUUCGUAGAUAUUCGCAAGAACACCAGUGGCGAAGGCGGCGACCUGGUCCUUGACUGACGCUGAGGCGCGAAAGCGUGGGGAGCAAACAGG